GGGGAAAAUUAAAAAUUUAAAUUUAAUAAAAAAAAUUUUAAUAUUAAAAAGAAAAAAUGGGGGUUUAAGUAUUUUUAAUAGAAAAAAUUAAUAUUUUUAUAGUUAAAUAUUACUGUAAAGGAAUUUUUAAAUAAAUGAAAUAAAAUUAAUAAAAAAGUAAAUUUAAUUUGUUGUAUCUUGUGUAUCAGAGUUUAUUAAAAAAUAAUAAUUUAUUUAAAUAAAUCUCGAAUUUAAAAGAGUUAAUUAAUUAAAAAAGUUAAUGUUGUAUAAUUAUUUUUAAUAAUUAAUUGGAAAUGAAAUGUUAAUCGUUUUUAAAUAUAUCUAGUUUUUUCAGAAAAAAAUUUAAUUUUAAAUUUAAAUAAUUUUAUAAUUUUUUGAUUAAUUAUAAAAAUUUAAAUUUUAAUAUUUUAGGGGAUAAGCUUUAAAUUAAAAAUUUAUAAUUAAAAAAUAUAAGAAUUAAAAUUUUUAAAAUUUAUAUUAUUUAAAAAUUAUAGUUUAUUAUAAAAAAUUUUGUUUAUAUAUAAAAUUUAAAAUAGAAAAUUUAAAUUUUUAUGAAAAAAUAAUUUAUAAUUUAAUAAAAUUAGAAAUAAUGAUAAAAUUAGUAUAAUAAAAUAAAUUAAAUGAAAUUUAUAAAUAAGUAAUUUAAAGGAAUUCGGCAAAAAUUUAUAUUCACUUGUUUAUCAAAAACAUGUCUUUUUGAUAAUAAUUUAAAGUCUAAUCUGCCCACUGAUAUAAUUAUUAAAGGGCUGCAGUAUAUUGACUGUACAAAGGUAGCAUAAUCAUUAGUCUUUUAAUUGAAGACUUGUAUGAAAGAUUUGAUGAAAUAUAGACUGUCUCUGAAUUAUUAUUAGAAAUUAAUUUUUUAGUUAAAAAGCUAAAAUAAAAUUAAAAGACGAGAAGACCCUAUAGAGUUUUAUAUUUUAUUUAUUUAGUAUUAAAUAUAUAAUUAAAUUAUAUUAAUUAAAUAAAAUAUUGUAUUGGGGUGAUAAAAAAAUUUAAUAAACUUUUUUUAAAAAUAUAACAUAAAUAAGUGAUUAAUUGAUCCAUUAAUAAUGAUUAAAAGAAAAAAUUACCUUAGGGAUAACAGCGUAAUAUUUUUUUUUAGUACAAAUAAAAAAUAAAGUUUGCGACCUCGAUGUUGGAUUAAGAUAAAAUUUAAAUGCAAAAGUUUAAAAUUUUGAUCUGUUCGAUCAUUAAAAUCUUACAUGAUCUGAGUUCAAACCGGUGUAAGCCAGGUUGGUUUCUAUCUUUAAUAAAAAAAAAUAUUUUAGUACGAAAGGAUCAAAUAUUUAAAAUAAUUUUAUAAAGGAAAAAUGAAUAUUAUUAAUAU
rnacentral:rRNA from 1 species